AGAGUUUGAUCAUGGCUCAGAACGAACGCUGGCGGCAGGCCUAACACAUGCAAGUCGAGCGAGAUCUUCGGGUCUAGCGGCGGACGGGUGAGUAACGCGUGGGAACGUGCCCUUUGCUACGGAAUAGCCCCGGGAAACUGGGAGUAAUACCGUAUGGUGUCUUCGGACUAAAGAUUUAUCGCCAAAGGAUCGGCCCGCGUUGGAUUAGGUAGUUGGUGGGGUAAAGGCCCACCUAGGCGACGAUCUGUAGCGGGUCUGGGAGGAUGAUCCGCCACACUGGGACUGAGACACGGCCCAGACUCCUACGGGAGGCAGCAGUGGGGAAUUUUGGACAAUGGGGGCAACCCUGAUCCAGCCAUGCCGCGUGAGUGAAGAAGGCCUUCGGGUUGUAAAGCUCUUUCGGCCGGGAAGAAAUCGCGCUCUUUAAUAGAGGGUGUGGAUGACGGUACCGGACUAAGAAGCACCGGCUAACUACGUGCCAGCAGCCGCGGUAAUA
rnacentral:rRNA from 1 species